ACACAUUUGGGUAUCUAAUCCUCUUAAUGUAUUUUCCCUUUAUUUACUAGUGAUAUCCUUAAUACAAAAAUCACCAAUGGAAAAGAGCAGUGUGGAUAUUCAAGAGAAGAGGAAUUAUACAACAGAGGCACCAGGUCAGUUACAGUGCCCUAAACAUUGGCUUCAGCUCCAAGAUAAAUGCUUCACUAUUUCUAGUUCUUCCAAAACUUGGAAUGACAGUUUAGCUGACUGCUCCCA
rnacentral:lncRNA from 1 species